rnacentral:tRNA from 1 species
GUUUUAAUAAUUUAAUAUAAAAUAAUGGUCUUGUAAACCAGAUAUAAGUUUAACUUUUAAAACU